GCUGCCCUUCGCCCAGUCCCUCCGGUGGUCAGUGCCAGCAUGUAGAUCGGUGGCUUAAACCUGCACUGUUGCAGGAGUGCCUGGGAUCUGUGCCAAGAGAGCUUGAUCCCUGGAGGCAGCCACAGAGUGGGUCCCCCUGUCCUUGGUCCUGCCACGACCCAUCAAUCAUCCCGGAUGCAAUGGCAUUCAGCCCUGCCUGGGGUGACACAGCCUCCCUGUACCCCUUCCCACUUCUCUACUCUCCACCCUUCCCUAGAAGGGCAUCUGCUGUGUCCCCUCCUCCUCCAGGGCCCCUCCCAGCUUUCAGUCUAUCCCCAUAAUAUGGCCGAUGCUCUGCGGAUUUUCAAGCCCCUCACAGCGGCUGCUGCAGGAAAUAGGGGGUGCAGCUCUUUGCUCUCUGUCUAGCACUUACUAACUGUCUGACCACAAAAGCCCCUGUUCCAAGGACAUGGGAGGAGGACAGUAUUUUUAGUAGACACGGGGUUUCACCGUGUUAGCCAGGAUGGUCUCGAUCUCCUAUAUCCCCACCUACUCGGGAGGCUGAGGCAGGAGAAUGGCGUGAACCCGGGAGGCGGAGCUUGCAGUGUAUGUAUUUCAAAACCAAUUAAGUUUUCUAACCCUAUCCUCUUCCUCAGUCAAUGGCCUCAGAUUUGCUAAACUUAAUUCUAACUUUUGAGGCAGGAGGAUCACUUGAGCCCAGGAGUUCAAAGUUGCAGUAAUCCAUGAUCAUGCCACCACACUCCUUCCUGGAUAACAGAGUCACCUCUCAAUCGGACGCCUUUUGAUGCCCCUUGCAGUGAAUGACUCCAGCUUCCUUUGGAAGUAAAGCGGCCAGAGCGGUAGCCUCAAUGAUAGAUGUGGAAGAUACUAUUGCAUAGCCUGCCUUUGCUGGUGAGUGGCGAUUAGGCCUGGUGGAACCGCCAUCAAUAAACCAAAUGUGAUCAGGGUGAGGAACAAAGGUAUUGAGAACGAAAGAGUGUACGGGUUGGGCACCACAGGAUGGAUGGCAAAACAAUUUGAUUGAUGAGGCGCAGAUCCUGAACUAAUCUGUAAGACUUGUCCGGUUUUUGGGCAGGGUAACGGUGAUUAGGUUUUACUAGGAUGGUGAUGGUCAUGUGAUUGGUUGCCAGGGAGGGGGUAGAGAUGUCCUAUACUUGUGGGUUAAGGUCGGGGCUGGGUUUUCAUCUUUACCUUGGGUAGUUUCUUUAAGCUUGUCAUAAUUAACAGCUUUGUAAGCGGAAAAUUAUAGUAAAGGGAGGGGGUUGUUCUCUGGCUGGCAGGAGUGGGGUGGGAGGAUAAUGAGAGGUAUAAAAGAACUCUAAAUCAAAGAAAAUGACCAAGGUGAGUCUCAAUCAUUUUAGAGGUUUAUUUGCCAAGGUUGAAGACGCACUCAGGUUUAUUUUGCCAAGGUCUGAUGGGCAAAUCAUGUGGAAGGUCCCCUAGGGAGGUUUGUGGCCUUUUAUCUUUGUAGCUAUCUACUUAGGAACAAAAGGAAGGCAGUCUUUGCAUGACUCAGGGUCUCCUUGUAACCCACCUCUGACAUAUACAUCCUAGCCUCUUCGUCCUGCUUCCCCAACGAGAGAGGGCCUGAAGGUUAAGUUGAUCACCAGUGGCCAAUGAUUUAAUUAAUCAGGCCUUCAUCUGUAACCUUUGUAAUAGCCUUUAUAAUAAACUGGGAAAUGUAAGUAAGCAUUUCCCUGGGGGGACUGAGCCCUCAGCCUGUGGGAUCUGACAUUAUCUGCUGGUAGAUGGUGUCAGAAUGGAAUGGAAGUUGAGGUCUGUGUUGGCUUUUGUGCUGUGAGAACAGAGGAAAAACGAUUUGUGUUUUUUCACUCACAGAGUCAGUAUUGGCUUCUCAAUGAGAUCCAUAAUGCCUAGUACAUAGAAAUAUCCAGUUGCACAUUGCCUCUCUAUCUUAUCAUGAGGGUGUUUCUCCUGCAUAUUUGUCUCCAUCUUCCUUAAUCUCCUUCUUUCUUUCAGUUAUUAAAAAAAUUCUGGGUGGGCGCAGUGGCUCGCACCUGUAAUCCCAGCACUUUGGAAGGCCGAGGCAGGCAGAUCACUUGAGGUCAGGAGUUCAAGACCAGCCUGGCCAACAUGGUGAAACCCUGUCUCUACUAAAAAUACAAAAAUUAGCCGGGCGUGGUGGCGGGCGCCUAUAGUCCCAGCUACUUGGGAGGCUGGAGCAGGAGAAUAGCUUGAACCCGGGAGGUGGAGGUUGCAAUGAGCUGAGAUCGAGCCAUUGUACCAGCCUGGGGGUCACAGUGAGACUC
rnacentral:lncRNA from 1 species